GACGAACGCUGGCGGCGUGCUUAACACACGCAAGUCGAACGGUGAAGCGCUUGCCUUUUUGGUGGGUGUGGAUGAGUGGCGAACGGGUGAGUAACACGUGAGUAACCUGCCCUCUUCUUCUGGAUAACCUCAUGAAAGUGGGGCUAAUACGUGGUAUUCCGGGUCUGUCGCAUUGCGGGUUUGGGAAAGAUUGCGCCUUUGGGUGUUUUCGGUGGGGGAUUGGCUCGCGGCCUAUCAGCUUGUUGGUGGGGUGAUGGCCUACCAAGGCGGUGACGGGUAGCCGGCCUGAGAGGGUGGACGGCCAGACUGGGACUGAGACACGGCACAGACUCGUGAGGGAGGCAGCAGUGGGGAAUAUUGCACAAUGGGCGCAAGCCUGAUGCAGCGACGCCGCGUGAGGGAUGGAGGCCUUCGGGUUGUGAACCUCUUUCGACAGUGAAGCAGGCCUGCCUCGUUUGUGGGUGGGUUGACGGUAGCUGGAUAAGAAGCGCCGGCUAACUACGUG
rnacentral:rRNA from 1 species